CCCUUGUGCCGCCCCCUCCGGUCUCCCUAUAUUUAAGAUGUCGGGUAACCGACUAUAGCGCUAAAUGGCCUUACGAAAUAAGCGGAACGGACCCGGGGGCAGUACCCGGCGCCUCCACCAGUUUCGGGCGGCACGCUGCGGCGGCCGCCCAAAUGGGGGCG
rnacentral:tmRNA from 1 species